AAUGAACGUUGGCGGCGUGGAUUAGGCAUGCAAGUCGAGCGAGAAUUUGCGAUUGGAAGCUUCGGCCGAAGAAAGUGAAGGAAAGCGGCAAACGGCGUAGUAAGGCGUAGGUACGUACCCUCGGGUCGGGAAUAGCCAUGGGAAACUGUGGGUAAUGCCCGAUAAUCUCUGCGGAGCAAAGGUGUGAUUCCGCCGGAGGAGCGGCUUACGUGAUAUUAGCUAGUUGGUGGGGUAAUGGCCUACCAAGGCAACGAUGUCUAGGGGGUGUGAGAGCAUGGCCCCCACGACCGGAACUGAGACACUGUCCGGACACCUACGGGUGGCUGCAGUCGAGAAUCUUCCGCAAUGGACGAAAGUCUGACGGAGCGACGCCGCGUGCGGGAUGAAGGCCCUUGGGUUGUAAACCGCUGUCAGAGGGGAUGAAAUCUCCGGGGGUACUCCCCCGGAGUUGACAGAGCCUCAAAGGAAGCACGGGCUAAGUACGUG
rnacentral:rRNA from 1 species